UAGAGGAGGUUUUAAGAGUCUGUCUCAGCAAGACAGGUUAAAGAGGGCCCAUGCUGGCAGAACAGGUAGCCUCAGUGGUAUCUCAGCACAUCAGGUGACUUCCCAAGGGGUCCAACCCCUCACAGUUGGGUCUUUCGUUCUUCACACAACAAAAAUAAUAUGAAGAUACCACAUGGGCACAUUUGGGUCCUAAAUAAUCAUGGUUAAUGUACAAAACCUACAGAAAUAUUAUAAAUAAGGCCUCGUCUAGCUACAUACACACUGCUGAUCUGGCUGUGUUCUGGCGGACUUUACAAUAAUAGAACAGUGAGUCCCACUAGAGGGGUAUUACCCUGUUCUUAUUUGUUUAUAAGGAGAGAGAGAGAGAGAGAGGUGAUGAUUUUCUGCUUUCUUGUUUUUUCUAAAUUCCUGUCCUGAAGUCUUUCCUUUUGUUCAGAGACACAGAAACCCAAAACAUUAUUAGUUUUAUCCAUAUCUCCUUAUUCCCACUGCAGAUUUUCCAUUCCAUUUUUACACUCAAUGCCAUAUAAAGUAAGUGUUAAUGUAUUUAGAUUUUUCUCUACCAUGGAACCCAAUCUGUUAAGGUUGAAGCAAGUGUAUUGCAAAUUCUGCAGGCACAAACCUUUGUAAGCUGACCGUUCUGUUGCAACCACAUGCUAUGUUUGCUGUUAAUAUAAAAAAGACACUGCUUACAGACCCCUCAGAACCCAGUGGAGGGAUGUACUGCUAAUACUACCCAGCUUAGCUUCAGUGCUAAGAAACCUAGGCAUAGGUUACUUAUAUAAACACCGACUCCCUAGAAAAGAAAGUCAAUAAAUAUCUUAAAAUGCUAAACUGUACUAAUGCUGAGGUUGUCCCUUUUCUGAUUAUAGAGUGCUGGAGCUGCAGGAAAAUGGAGCUGGAUGAAGGUCAUUCAUACUCAGGAGAUAUUGGAAGUAAGAAUAUGGCUCUCAGUCGUCAACUUUGGGAUCCAAAAAUAUCAGCUAUGCCAACAUUUGGUAAAGGAGAAGUGGGAAUUGAAUUUAAAAAGAAAGAUGAGACAAAGAAGUGGAUCUACACAAAAGGGAAUUUACUAGUUAAGAGGCUGCUGGUGAAGAUCUAACAAGACAUGGUACUCUGGGAAAACAGUGGCUUUAUCACUGGUAUGUAUUACAGACAGAGGGAAGAUGGAGGGAUUAGCUGGAAGUAACCAUGUCUCAGCAAUACAGAACACUUACUGCAAAACACCCAUAGCAUUUAUCUCGAUUCCAAGGGUUAAAAAGAACAAAAGCUUGUUUGCCUAAGAAGUACUUCUGGCCAAUAAUCUAUUCCACAGUUGGCAGAGUUGUACUAGCUAUGUGAGGCAAGGCAGCCAGGAGGAUAGAGGUCAAGAGGAAAGUUGCCCUUGUACUUACACCUAUAACAAACAUUCUCUUUCAACAUGAUUCAGCUAUCACUUCUGUGAAAUACUCAUAGUUCGAUAGAAGUACAGAAACAGCAGCUAUAAAUUGUGGUAUUACAACGAGCAACUGCUGGAUUCUCUGCAAAGUGUGGAGUACCUCUAGCUGAAUAUGUUAGAAACCCUAUUAUUAAAGAAAACACAUGAGGAUGAGUAAGGAUAUCCAACAGCUUACUUUAGACUGGUGAAGCAACAACAACAACACAAUAAAAAACACCUUGGUCAACCAGUCAUUUAAAUGUCCCUUUGCUCAGGCUUUCUAAUCCAGAUCCACAGGCUCAGGUUCAGAGCCCAGCCUUCAGUUGGUAGUCUCCUUCUGUUCCUGGAACAGCCACUUUCAUGGGUCCCUCUUUGGAAAACUUGUGUACGAUUGAAUUGUUGUUUAAUCUGUCAUUUGUAAGGAACACGGUAAUGCCUUUGGACCCCAUCACAGUGAAAAAGAGUGAAAAAGCAUAUUUAAAAUAGCUAGGUGUCAUUAGAUCUUCAGAAAGACUGUGGACUUCACCUGUCCUAAUAAUGAAGCCAAACAGGUCCUUCUGCUUGUGUGUUGAACUGGUGCAAGCUGAAUGCUGUGAUGGUGGCUGAUGCCUAACCAAAGCAACAAGCGGAUGCUUUUCUGGAGUUCAGGCACACAAUCACAGUGAGCAUUUGUGACUGGGAGUCCCAGGGAGCAGCACUGAGGUUACUCAAUUAUGGUCAACUGCAAAGAAUGGGGCAGACAAUCCCCAAAGCUGGUGGAUAUUCCAAUACUUAGAUUUACCAAGCCAGUAUAAAACAGCUUCUGUAAUACCUUACUGGUUACCCAGAAGCCAACAAC